UACGGAGGGUGCAAACGUUGCUCGGAAUUAUUGGGCGUAAAGCGCACGUAGGCGGACCAGCAAGUCGGAUGUGAAAUCCCUCGGCUUAACCGAGGACGUGCAUCGGAAACUGCUGGCCUUGAGUACGAAAGAGGAUCGCGGUAUUCCCGGUGUAGAGGUGAAAUUCGUAGAUAUCGGGAGGAACACCAGUGGCGAAGGCGGCGAUCUGGGUCGAUACUGACGCUGAGGUGCGAAAGCGUGGGGAGCAAACAGG
rnacentral:rRNA from 1 species